GCCCUUUUCCGGUUGAUCCUGCCGGAAGCCAUUGCUAUCGGAGUCCGAUUUAGCCAUGCUAGUCGCACGGGUUAGACCCGUGGCGGAUAGCUCAGUAACACGUGGCCAAACUACCCUGUGGACCAGGACACUCUCGGGAAACUGAGGCUAAUCCUGGAUACAGCUUCCAGCCUGGAGUGGCGGAAGCUGGAAACGCUCCGGCGCCACAGGAUGUGGCUGCGGCCGAUUAGGUAGACGGUGGGGUAACGGCCCACCGUGCCAGUAAUCGGUACGGGUGAUGAGAGUCAGAGCCCGGAGACGGUAUCUGAGACAAGAUACCGGGCCCUACGGGGCGCAGCAGGCGCGAAACCUUUACACUGCACGACAGUGCGAUAAGGGGACUCCGAGUGCGAGGGCAUACAGUCCUCGCUUUUCUGUACCGUAAGGUGGUACAGGAACAAGUGCUGGGCAAGACCGGUGCCAGCCGCCGCGGUAAUACCGGCAGCACAAGUGAUGGCCGAUAUUAUUGGGCCUAAAGCGUCCGUAGCCGGCCGGACAAGUCUGUUGGGAAAUCCACGCGCCCAACGCGUGGGCGUCCAGCGGAAACUGUCCGGCUUGGGGCCGGAGGACUCGAGGGGUACGUCCGGGGUAGGAGUGAAAUCCCGUAAUCCUGGACGGACCACCGGUGGCGAAAGCGCCUCGAGAAGACGGACCCGACGGUGAGGGACGAAAGCCAGGGUCUCGAACCGGAUUAGAUACCCGGGUAGUCCUGGCCGUAAACGAUGUCUGCUA
rnacentral:rRNA from 1 species